AUUUUUUUCCCCUGUGGUCUCUCUUAAGUGCCUUAGGGUUUUGUAAGAGGAAAGUGGGCUGAUAGCCUGGGCUCAGUUGCUCCAGAAAUAAAAGUGAAAACUAUGUGCACGUGUGUGGGCGGGCGCGCAUGCGCACACCUGCAACACGCGGCCACAUCCACACAGGCGCGCGCGUGCGCAUACGCACUCACACGUUUACUUACUCCCCGCGGGUUCCUGAGAAACGCAGGCUGGACUACUUUUCAGAGCCUACGCAACUCACUAAGGAGAGAGACAUCACUCUUUCCAAGUGAUUUGUACCACAUAUUGAAAGAAGUCUGGAUGAUGAUCGGCAUUGCCAAGUGGUUGAUACCAGAAGAGCACAAUACUCAGAAAUUUUAAGAGAUGUGGUGCUCCUCAAAUGCAUACUCUACAAAAAAUAGCCUCUUUUGAGUACUUCCUGUCUCCCCAGCACAGCACUGGUAAGUGUCCUUCUAUCUAGCUCACAUCCCAGUGAAAUAUAACUACGGAAGAGAGAUACUGGAGGAAUGACUGAGAAAACAAAGGCAGCUAAUUUGCACCCCAAACAUUCAUAAUCUACCAAUCAGUAAUUGCCUACUUACGACAAGUUGGAAUUGGGACAAUGCGAGAUGGAUGCUCCUCGUUCCCUGAAUACAUCCAGUUCUUCUUCAGAAAGGUAGCAGCCAUGCGCCAUCACUGUCUGGAGAGAAGAGUCCUAUGUGGAGUCUACCUCUUAAAAAUGCUAAAGUUAGUCCUCACUCCCAACAAGAUAUUAUAGGUGCAGAUAGAGGCUGUGACUUAUCUGUAGGCAUCUUCACAAGAGCAUUUAUAAUUAGCCGUAUGUAUAAAAUCAUUGUGUACAAGUUACACCUCAAAAAAAAAGGCCUGUAAAAACAUUGGAUUACAAGUCUCAUACAUUUGUGGAGCUUACUUUUUUCUCCUUUUUAAAUCUAUAAAAUAAGUGAGCAUUGGUCCAGGUGAUCUACAGUAGAGGAUAUCCAUCUAGUUGGGAGACAUCAUGAUUCCUUCAUCUCCACUUUAGGAAAUAAAGUUACUUUCUUUUCUAAGUGUACAUGGUGAGCAACUAGUGGGGCUGUGCUUGUUGCUAUUCUAAUCAGAACUUUCUAAAAGUAAGCUUUCUUUUCUCAGGACGCGGAAGCCAUGGGAGUGAUCCUGGAAAGGGCUGUUUUUUAUUUCUGCUCCUAGUCAAAUACAGGCACCAACGGUCUUGACACACAUAACCAAAUGAACUUUAUCACCUAUAGUUACAUUUUCAUAAAAAUUAAGAAACAUAAUAUAUAUAUAAGCAUUAAUUGAGAAGGUAAAAUUUACCCAAGAAGGCAGGCACUGCACACAUAUGAGAUUUCUCUUAAUUUUCAGUCCUAGUAAUACUUACAGAUUUUCCUGAUUAAGACUACUCUUGUAAAAUUCUUUUUCCCUCAGUAUAAAACUGUAUUUGAAUAGAUUUCUCUUUGUGGAGCCUGGCUCAGUGACCACAGAAUUAUUACUAAAAUAAAAUUUUCUCAAUCUCUAUGCAAAUAAAGUUAGCAUGCAAAUUAAGGUUAAUUUAUUAAUCAUAUGGAAAUAUAUGAAAGAUAUGAAAAUUAUGAUGUAUCAUAAACAAGAACUAUGCAGAGUAUUUACCUUUCAAAUCAGUCAUAUUCAGAUCUCUGUUCACACAGCCCCUAAGGACUUACUUGCUGUAAUAGUUACUCUCUCCAUGUAGUUCUUACACUUCACUGACGGCCAAGGCCAGAGGUUAUAGUGUUGUCAUGAGGUCUCUCCCCCCUCAUAUUAAUGUUAGUUAACUUAAAGUUGUUUAAUUAUAAAUGCAAUACAUGCUCACUUAAAAAAGCAAUCUUAGAGUGUUUAAAAAUAAACAGUAAAAAUUCCUUCUGUUUUCUUCCUUAGGAAGGAUCACUUUUAACAUUCAGUGUGUGUCUUCUGUUUUCUAAGUGAGCACGCACCCACAUACAUAUCCACAUACACAUCAAACAAUACUGUGCAUUCUCCUUUGUAAGUCUGUAUACCUCAUUCUUUGUGAAUGUUGGAUAAAAUUCUAAUUAUGUAUUUUCUAUAAUCUAAACAUUUCCCCACUGAGCCAUUUUUUUUAAACUUUCAUAUGUAAUUAGAAUCCGUAUUCAUUUUCCUUACAGAAUGGAUCUGCUAACUCAAAGGAAUGCACAUUUACAUUCUAAUGGAUACUGACAAAAUGUCCUUGGACCAAAUGACAUUCCUACCCUCAAAGAAGCCUUUAAGAUUUAUUUACUAAUAAAUUUAAUGAUUUAUUCAUUAGGGAUGAAACUUCAGGCCAUUUUUAACUCUAUGCACAAACACAUAUGCACACUCUGAACUUUGGGAAAUGUAUGU